UGUCCUACGGGCGGCUGCAGUGGGGAAUUUUGCGCAAUGGGGGAAACCCUGACGCAGCAACGCCGCGUGAGUGAUGAAGGCCUUCGGGUCGUAAAGCUCUGUCAGAGGGGAAGAAGUGUGUGGGUGCUAAUAUCAUCCGCACUUGACGGUACCCUCAAAGGAAGCGCCGGCUAACUCCGUGCCAGCAGCCGCGGUAAUACGGAGGGUGCGAGCGUUGUUCGGAAUUAUUGGGCGUAAAGCGCGUGUAGGCGGUCUGAUAAGUCUGAGUUGAAAGCCCCGGGCUCAACCUGGGAAGUGCAUUGGAAACUGUCAGACUUGAAUACGGGAGAGGGCAGUGGAAUUCCUAGUGUAGGAGUGAAAUCCGUAGAUAUUAGGAGGAACACCGGUGGCGAAGGCGGCUGCCUGGACCGAUAUUGACGCUGAGACGCGAAAGCGUGGGGAGCAAACAGGAUUAGAUACCCCGGUAGUCUA
rnacentral:rRNA from 1 species